UCUGGGCCAACUGCGUGAGGCUCAAAAGGUUAACCGAAAUGGGACUCAUAUUGUUGGCUCAAUUGGGUUAAAUGUAUGGGCCCAAUUCAGCAUUAACGUGGGCUAACCGGGCAUGGGACAGAAAUGGGAACACUAUAUGGGGCCCAUGUGGUUUCAGUAUAUUGGGCCUAAAAGGUUUUUUGUAAAUAGGAUGAAGGCAUUGUAGUUCAUAUUUUUAAAUUCUUUUUUUAAUUGUUGUGUGACACUUUAAAGCGUUUUGUUAUGUCAUAGUUUAUUUCAAUCUGCCGCUAUUGUGUUGGUCUAGAGUAGUCAUCAGUGUCAGGGUUCCUGUGUGUGUAUGUGAGUGUCGCAUCUUAUUUCAGCGAGGAGCCCGUGGAGCUUGGCACAGGUGGAGGAGCAGCAGAAUCUUCAGUCUACGCUAGAUUGACUGAAGAUUCUACUGGUGUAUGCUAGAUGGUUGCAUACACCGGUAGUCACUCUGGCCUCUCCUGUUGUGAACAGUUUUCUGAGAACGUUUCUGUGUCUACUAGAAGUCACCUGGUCUCUGUGUUUGUUCGAUCCUAGGGGUUUUGUCGCCUCAUUCGAGAACUCACCAGUGAAUACCUGCCUGCUCGCUCCGCCGAUUCCACUGCCUCCACUCCACCCUUCGAGCUUCCAGCUCUCUUCCAUUCCCACCUCGCAUUUACCUUCGGAACCACUGCACACCCUCUCUCAGGAACCUGGCAUCUCACACCCACGCCUCGAAAGACCCGCACCGAAGCUUCAAGAGGAUCAGCGUGUGAAGAUCACUUUAUAAUGAUUUGAAAAAGGUUGCCAUGGCUACAGAAAUUGGAGGAGCAUCCUUAGAUGACACAAUACAACCAGCUGUGCGAUUCCUCAUGUCCCAUGAAUUGGAAGUCCAGUUCAACCUUUUUGGCCAACAUUGGAAACAAGCUCUUGGACCUGCGUCUCUUUGAUGUUUUGUAUGGGGACUUAAAAGAAAUUAUCCAUCUACAGAAUCACACAAGCAUACAGCAAAGACUCUCGAAGUGGUUUACUGGAGCCCGACACUGAAGUGGAAAUAGACUAGAGAGACUGCCAGUUCAAACUCAGGUUGGGGAGGUCUUUCAAGAUGGACAGUUUCAGUAAAGUAUGAGAGAUUUCAAAUUUAAGCAUGCAUAUGGCAUGUAGGUUAUUUUUAAAAAUGUUUAACAAAAAUGUAUUGUGAAAGAUCUAUAUAGGUGUGUAUAUUCACAUUGUGUGUAUCAAUGUGAACAUACGUGUAUAAAGUUAUAUAGAUAGUAUUUAGAUGUAUACAUUUAUAGACCUGUAGGAAAAUAUGUAGGUGUCUUUAUUUGUGUGCAUCUAUAGAUAUAUAUUUAUAGAUCUGUUUAUAAGUUUGUUAUAGUAAACUAGCUUCUGUUAUUUUCAAAGAUGUCGUGAAUAAUUGCAGAUUUCUUUUUGUGGCACCAUUCCCUGAGUAUUAAUGAAGUUCUAAUAAUUGCUGUAGUGAGGUAAAAAAUAACUCCUGACAAUAUUUUAAAUUACUAAAUAAAAGCCUUGAGCAAAAUAAA